UACAGAGGUCCCAAGCGUUGUUCGGAUUCACUGGGCGUAAAGGGUGCGCAGGUGGUCGGGUAAGUCUGAUGUGAAAUCCCGCAGCUCAACUGCGGAAUGGCAUUGGAUACUAUUUGGCUAGAGGGUUGGAGGGGGGACUGGAAUUCUCGGUGUAGCAGUGAAAUGCGUAGAUAUCGAGAGGAACACCAGUGGCGAAGGCGAGUCCCUGGACAACUCCUGACGCUGAGGCACGAAAGCGUGGGGAGCAAACAGG
rnacentral:rRNA from 1 species